rnacentral:rRNA from 1 species
UACGUAGGAAGCAAGCGUUGUCCGGAAUCACUGGGCGUAAAGCGCGUGUAGGCGGUAUGGCAAGUCUGCUGUGAAAGCUCUCGGCUUAACCGGGAGAGGUCGGUGGAAACUGCCACACUGGAGGACGGUAGAGGGGGUGGAAUUCCCGGUGUAGUGGUGAAAUGCGUAGAGAUCGGGAGGAACACCUGUGGCGAAGGCGGCUCUCUGGGCAGAUACUGACGCUGAGACGCGAAAGCGUGGGUAGCAACAGG